AAGCAACCAUUUUGAGUUUUUGACAGCAUGCAUGGCGCCGAGAACAAACAUCGAGAAAUUAUUUAUAUUCAUGAUAACUUGACAGGACAGGAGGUUGUAUACGGUAUAAAUACAUUAUGGAAUAUUGACUGUUCACAUUUUCAUAUAUUUACUGAGCUUGAACUUUGGCAGUUACGUCGUACCUUUCAAUGAUUUAUUCACAGUAUACGCCUGAGUUUUAAUAUACAAAUGACUGGAAAGUUGGGUGAGUAUACGAUUAAAAUACAUUUUGAAAUAAUGUAUAACUUGUAGCUGCAUUUUAAAAUUGAUCUAAUUGUAACUCUGUACGUUUAAAUCCUUUGGAUUCCGAGAACAUUUGUUCGUCUAUUUUUGUUUAUUAAAAUUGCCCUUCGUAUUAAAAGUAUACGAAACACGAUUACUGGUAAAUUUAAUUAUAAAAUAACAUGUAUAUAACGCGUAUUCUGAUUGGUCGAAACCCGUGUUUGGAUAAGGCCAUCCAAACACGGAAGACUAUCGUGUUGUUGUUAUUUUAUAAAACAAUUACUUUAUGGUUUCCCUGUUUGGAUGGAAUGAUCCAAACACUUGGGAAUGUUGCUCGAGUUAAGAAAAGCGGGCAAAAUCACUCGCCUUCGGCUCGUGAUUUCGCUCGCUUUUCUUAACCCUCGCAACAUUCUCGCGUGUUUGGAUCAGGCCAUCCAAACACGGAAAUCAUAAAGUAAUUGUAUAAUCCUCUCAUCCAAAUAUUAAUAUUCAUAUUUAUUAUGCUAUAAUUACAAGUGUUUAUUUAAAAUUAUAAUAAUUAUAAUUUAAUAUUAUAGGCGAAGCUAAAUAAAUAAAUAAAUAAAUAAAAUAAAUAAAAGAGGAGUUAAAAGGCAUUUGCGGGGCUUAUCAUUUCUUAAAUCUGCUAAUUUUGUUGAUUUAUAGCUCAAAGAAUCGCCUUGUGGGCUGGCAAAACCUUUCUCUAAAUGCUUGAAGAUUUGUGUGUAUGUGGAAACGUGUGUGAUGAUGGGCAAAGAGGUAAUUGCAGUAUAAAUGUUAUUUGAUUGCUUUUCGUGUGCAGUGACGUCCAUAUCUGUUGCAACUACUUCCCCCUCUAUACAAAAUUCGCAAAGCCAUUAUGAUAAAUUCCUAUAACAUGAUGUUGCUGAUUAUUCUUAAGCCCACUGAGCUUGUGUCAUGCCGAUGGUAAAUUAACCAAAUGUUGUUUCAGGCUUGUUCACAACAUUGAACUGGGAGAGAGGGGUGACCAAGUUUGUUUUGCUAAUGUACAUUAGUAUUAGCAGGAAUGCUCGCCUGUAUUAUAUAUCCAAUAUUGUAGUUUGGAGAUCCUAGCAGAAGCUCAUGAUAUCGCCAUGAAACCAACUUCAUGUAGUUUCGCGUUCAUUCAUACAGUAUGUACUGUAUGAAUGAUUGUCAUAAAGGGUUUGUGAAUACAUAUACAUAUAAGUAAUUGUAAUACUGUAUGGCAAACAGUAAAGGCA